AUGGCAGAAUGCUUCAAUAAGGUGCUCAAGGGUGUACGUGCAUUACCCGUGACGGCAAUAGUUCAAUACACAUUUGACAAGAUGAAUGAAUACUUUUUAAAGCACUCAAUGGAGACUGAUAAGCAGAUUGCUGGUGAGAACAAGGAUAAGCAUAAGUACAAUUUCCCACCAAAGGUUGAAGAAUGGUUGGAAUUUCAAUCACGAAAGGCAGACUCCGAAGAAGCUGUACUAUAUGACGACAACGAGUGGAAGUAUGAGGUGAAAGAGCCCGGAGGAACCACAAACGAUGGCCGCCAACAUGGAGGCCGGGCUUUCAAGGUCUCCCUAACACGGUGUGAUUGUAGCUGCAUGAGGCCAUCUUUGCUUCAUCUCCCAUGCUCGCACUUGUUAAAUGCAUCCCGGGUUAGGAAUGUGGACGUCAAUCACCCUCUUACCAUGAGGGAGUCCGAGUUCUCAAUCAUGACGGUAAAGAAUACAUGGACUCCAUAGUUCCAGCCAUACUUGGACCAAUCACAAUGGCCGGAGUAUCAUGGAGUUCAACUAUGGCCGGACCCGGAAUUGAAGGUCGUUAGCUGGGGAAGACGUAAGACAAAGCGUCUUAGAGGUGACAUGGACGGAUGGGGCCGUGGUGGCGGUGGAGAAUACGGCACCGGCUAA
rnacentral:rRNA from 1 species